GGGAAACUUCCUGUGAUCAGCCCAUUUGACUACAGGGGUGGCUCAGAGUGACAAGACCUGGAUUGGAAUCCUGGCAUUUGGGGCUUUGCCGUAGUGUGACCUUGAGGGCACAGAAUAUUUUAGCCAUGUGCUGAGACUCACUGAGCCCUUGGAGUGGGGCCAUGGCUGGCCCCUGCCUGAACCCAAGGAAUCCACCCAUGAGGAAGAGAAAGCAGAAACCCCAGGGGAGUCCAUGCAAACUGGAAAAAAAAAGCACAGGUGCAAGGUGAGUCUGGAGCCUGGCAAGAGGCAGUGAAGGUGAAACACAGUGCUCUGAGCCAAGGUAAGCAUGGGGAGCAAUUAGGAGCCGGGAGCUGGAAGCCAGAGCCAAGACCAAGCGUGGGUCUGGACAAUAGAAAUCAGAGAAUGCAGAGCUUACAAGGGGUCAAACAGCUGCCAGACAGGUGACUUGCGUUUCAGCAUGGCUACUUGUUCUUUUGUCUCCCUUUGCUCUUGGCACAUGGAGUGUGGCUUCAGAUACCUUUCCAUCAACAUCUUUUCCUCUCCAUCUCUUGAGAAGAACAAUUGACCUGAGGCUUUCAGUGUCUAAAGCACAUCAAAACAGGACUUGAGGCCCAGCUUUUGUGGUCAUGCCUUACUGGGGAAGGGGAGCAAGGUGUGCGGCACCAGGGCUGGGGGGAUGGUGGUGAGACAACUAGAGGGAUGAGGCAGGAAAAGAGGGAAAGGACACAACCAGUCAGGACAUGACAGCCAUUACAGCCAUAGCAACGUCAGAUCUGAGCCAUGUCUGUGACCUAUACCAUAGUUCAUGGCAAUGCUGAAUCCUUAAUCCACUGAGCGAGGUCAGGGAUCAAACCCGAAUCCUCAUGGAUACUGGUUGGGUUUGUUACCACUGAGCCAAUGGGAACCCCAGGACUCCUCUAUGCUCUUAAAAAUUAUUGAGGACCCUAAUAUUUUUUGUGGGGGGAGGUUACAUAUACUGACCUUUAUUAAAGAUACAACUGAUGAAUUAAAAAUAUAAAAUUGCAAAAGAAGAUAACAAAAUGUUCUUAGAUUUAUACAUAAGCAUAAGGGCAGUUAACUUUGGAAUUUUGAAAUCAUGAUUUCUUGAACAAGAAUGAAAUCACAAAAUUAUAUCAGUUAUAACCAAAGGUAGCUUGUGUAAGUUCAGUAGGAGCCCUGAGGGAAAAAAGAGUUAAUUUCUGAAAACAAACAUAUUCCUACCCAAGAGCUCGGAAAAUUCUGGAAAACUCAAGUUCAAAAGCAUCUCUUCUUUUAGCUAUCAGAGCAAUGACAUCAUAUGUCAUCUGGAAAAGUCUGUUGUACACUCAUGAGAAAAUGAGAGUGAAGAAGGCAAAUAUCAUCUUUGUAUUAUUAUAAAAAUAGUUUUGACUUUGUGGACUUCUUAAGAGAGUCUCUGGAACCCCCAGAGGUCCCUGGGCUGUACUUUGAGAACUGCUGAUUUAUAAAUAGGGUGAACGUAUGUCCCAGUUUGUUUAGGAUAGUCCUGGUUUAUGUUUGUUGUCCUGUUAAUGUACUUAUUACAAGCAUCCCUCUUGACUCUUAAAAGUUUGGAUAAAAACCUAUGCAGACACAGUGUACAAGUGACAGGUGUAGACUGUCUGUUUAGGCAGUUUUCCUAUGCAGAUCAUGAGGAGAUUUUUCUAGAGAUGAACAGAAUCUAGACUGAAUCCCUGAUGUGUUUUCUAGGGACAAAAAGCCAGUACCCUGAUGCUGAGUUGAGCUCCACUGGGGUGGAUAACAAAAUUCACAUUGUUUAGGAGUUCCCGUCGAGGCUCAGUGGUUAACGAAUCCCACUAGGAACCAUGAGAUUGUGGGUUCCAUCCCUGGCCUUGCUCAGUGGGUUAAGGAUCCGUUGUUGCCGUGAGCUGUGGUGUAGGUUGCAGAUGCGGCUCAGAUCCCGCGUUGCUGUGGCUCUGGCAUAGGCCGGUGGCUACAGCUCUGAUUCGACCCCUGGCCUGGGAACCUCCAUAUGCCACCGGAGCAGCCCAAGAAAUGGCAAAAAAAGACCAAAAAAAAAAAAAAAA
ensembl:lncRNA